UUGAUGGAGAGUUUGAUUCUGGCUCAGAACGAACGCUGGCGGCGUGGAUAAGACAUGCAAGUCGAACGGGAGAAUUGCUAGCUUGCUAAUAAUUCUCUAGUGGCGCACGGGUGAGUAACACGUGAGUAACCUGCCUCUUAGUGGGGGAUAGCCCUGGGAAACCGGGAUUAAUACCGCAUACGAUUGAAAGAUCAAAGCAGCAAUGCGCUAGGAGAUGGGCUCGCGGCCUAUUAGUUAGUUGGUGAGGUAACGGCUCACCAAGGCGAUGACGGGUAGCCGGUCUGAGAGGAUGUCCGGCCACACUGGAACUGAGACACGGUCCAGACACCUACGGGUGGCAGCAGUCGAGAAUCAUUCACAAUGGGGGCAACCCUGAUGGUGCGACGCCGCGUGGGGGAAUGAAGGUCUUCGGAUUGUAAACCCCUGUCAUGUGGGAGCAAAUUAAAAAGAUAGUACCACAAGAGGAAGAGACGGCUAACUCUGUGCCAGCAGCCGCGGUAAUACAGAGGUCUCAAGCGUUGUUCGGAAUCACUGGGCGUAAAGCGUGCGUAGGCUGUUUCGUAAGUCGUGUGUGAAAGGCAGGGGCUCAACCCCUGGAUUGCACAUGAUACUGCGAGACUAGAGUAAUGGAGGGGGAACCGGAAUUCUCGGUGUAGCAGUGAAAUGCGUAGAUAUCGAGAGGAACACUCGUGGCGAAGGCGGGUUCCUGGACAUUAACUGACGCUGAGGCACGAAGGCCAGGGGAGCGAAAGGGAUUAGAUACCCCUGUAGUCCUGGCAGUAAACGGUGCACGCUUGGUGUGCGGGGAAUCGACCCCCUGCGUGCCGGAGCUAACGCGUUAAGCGUGCCGCCUGGGGAGUACGGUCGCAAGAUUAAAACUCAAAGAAAUUGACGGGGACCCGCACAAGCGGUGGAGUAUGUGGCUUAAUUCGAUGCAACGCGAAGAACCUUACCUGGGCUUGACAUGUAAUGAACAACAUGUGAAAGCAUGCGACUCUUCGGAGGCGUUACACAGGUGCUGCAUGGCCGUCGUCAGCUCGUGUCGUGAGAUGUUUGGUUAAGUCCAGCAACGAGCGCAACCCCUGUUGCCAGUUACCAUCGAGUAAUGUCGGGGACUCUGGCGAGACUGCCCAGAUCAACUGGGAGGAAGGUGGGGACGACGUCAGGUCAGUAUGGCCCUUAUGCCCAGGGCUGCACACGUACUACAAUGCCCAGUACAGAGGGGGCCGAAGCCGCGAGGCGGAGGAAAUCCUGAAAACUGGGCCCAGUUCGGACUGUAGGCUGCAACCCGCCUACACGAAGCCGGAAUCGCUAGUAAUGGCGCAUCAGCUACGGCGCCGUGAAUACGUUCCCGGGUCUUGUACACACCGCCCGUCACAUCAUGGAAGCCGGUCGCACCCGAAGUAUCUGAAGCCAACCGCAAGGAGGCAGGGUCCUAAGGUGAGACUGGUAACUGGGAUGAAGUCGUAACAAGGUAGCCGUAGGGGAACCUGCGGCUGGAUCACCUCCUUU
rnacentral:rRNA from 2 species